rnacentral:rRNA from 1 species
GUCGAGCGGAUGAGAAGAGCUUGCUCUUCAAUUCAGCGGCGGACGGGUGAGUAAUGCCUAGGAAUCUGCCUGAUAGUGGGGGACAACGUUUCGAAAGGAACGCUAAUACCGCAUACGUCCUACGGGAGAAAGCAGGGGACCUUCGGGCCUUGCGCUAUCAGAUGAGCCUAGGUCGGAUUAGCUAGUUGGUGGGGUAAUGGCUCACCAAGGCGACGAUCCGUAACUGGUCUGAGAGGAUGAUCAGUCACACUGGAACUGAGACACGGUCCAGACUCCUACGGGAGGCAGCAGUGGGGAAUAUUGGACAAUGGGCGAAAGCCUGAUCCAGCCAUGCCGCGUGUGUGAAGAAGGUCUUCGGAUUGUAAAGCACUUUAAGUUGGGAGGAAGGGCAGUAAGCGAAUACCUUGCUGUUUUGA